rnacentral:rRNA from 1 species
GGGUGGUAAUGCCGGAUGCUCCGACUCCUCGCAUGGGGUGUCGGGAAAGAUUUCAUCGGUAUGGGAUGGGGUCGCGUCCUAUCAGGUAGUCGGCGGGGUAACGGCCCACCGAGCCUACGACGGGUAGCCGGCCUGAGAGGGCGACCGGCCACAUUGGGACUGAGAUACGGCCCAGACUCCUACGGGAGGCAGCAGUGGGGAAUAUUGCACAAUGGGCGCAAGCCUGAUGCAGCGACGCCGCGUGCGGGAUGACGGCCUUCGGGUUGUAAACCGCUUUUGAUCGGGAGCAAGCCUUCGGGUGAGUGUACCUUUCGAAUAAGCACCGGCUAACUACGUGCCAGCAGCCGCGGUAAUACGUAGGGUGCAAGCGUUAUCCGGAAUUAUUGGGCGUAAAGGGCUCGUAGGCGGUUCGUCGCGUCCGGUGUGAAAGUCCAUCGCUUAACGGUGGAUCUGCGCCGGGUACGGGCGGGCUGGAGUGCGGUAGGGGAGACUGGAAUUCCCGGUGUAACGGUGGAAUGUGUAGAUAUCGGGAAAGAACA